GCUAUUUUGGCAGAGUUAAUGCGUUAGAUUUAGGAUUUAAUUAUGUGAUUUAUUACAAAUAGUA
rnacentral:tRNA from 1 species